rnacentral:rRNA from 1 species
GACGAACGCUGGCGGCGUGCUUAACACAUGCAAGUCGAACGGAAAGGCCCUGCUUUUGUGGGGUGCUCGAGUGGCGAACGGGUGAGUAACACGUGAGUAACCUGCCCUUGACUUUGGGAUAACUUCAGGAAACUGGGGCUAAUACCGGAUAGGAGCUCCUGCUGCAUGGUGGGGGUUGGAAAGUUUCGGCGGUUGGGGAGGGACUCGCGACUUAUCAGCUUGUGGGUGGGGUAGUGGAUUACCAAGGCUUUGACGGGUAGCCGGCCUGAGAGGGUGACCGGCACGAUUGGGAUUGAGAUGAGGCACGGACCCCUAGGGGAGGCAGCAGUGGGGAAUAGUGCAAAAUGGGCGGAAGCCUAAUGCAGCAACGCCGCGUGCGGGAUGACGGCAUUCGGUUUGUAACCCGUUUCCGCCUGUGACGAAGAGUGAGUGACGGUAAUGGAUAAAGAAGCACCGGCUAACUACGUG